rnacentral:rRNA from 1 species
GACGAACCUUGCUAACGUUAUUCGGAAUCACUGGGCUUAAAGGGUGCGUAGGCUGUGCAGAAAGUUGGGUGUGAAAUCCUCCGGCUUAACCGGAGAACUGCGCCCAAAACUACUGUGCUUGAGGGAGAUAGAGGUGAGCGGAACUGAGGGUGGAGCGGUGAAAUGCGUUGAUAUCCUCAGGAACACCCGUGGCGAAAGCGGCUCACUGGGUCUCUUCUGACGCUGAGGAGCGAAAGCGUGGGGAGCGAACAGG